UAGCAGCGCAUCAUGGUUUGAAACAAUGUUGAAAAUGUGCGAACCAUCAUUUGCUGCUUUA
ensembl:miRNA MIR15B microRNA 15b